rnacentral:rRNA from 1 species
CUACGGGCUGCUCCAGUGAGGAAUUUUGCGCAAUGGGGGCAACCCUGACGCAGCAACGCCGCGUGAGUGAAGAAGGCCUUUGGGUCGUAAAGCUCUGUCAACAGGGAAGAAGUUACUUCAUAUUAAUAGUAUGUAGUAUUGACGGUACCUGUGGAGGAAGCAUCGGCUAACUCCGUGCCAGCAGCCGCGGUAAUACGGGGGAUGCAAGCGUUAUUCGGAAUCAUUGGGCGUAAAGGGCACGCAGGCGGCUCUGUCAGUCAGAUGUGAAAGCCCGGGGCUCAACCCCGGACGUGCAUUUGAAACAGCAGAGCUUGAGUACGGUAGAGGAAAGCGGAAUUCCUGGUGUAGAGGUGAAAUUCGUAGAUAUCAGGAGGAACACCGGUGGCGAAGGCGGCUUUCUGGACCGAAACUGACGCUGAGGUGCGAAGGCGUGGGUAGCGAACAGGAUUAGAUACCCUCGUAGUC